rnacentral:rRNA from 1 species
CUACGGGGGGCUGCAGUGGGGAAUAUUGGACAAUGGGGGAAACCCUGAUCCAGCAAUGCCGCGUGUGUGAAGAAGGCCUGCGGGUUGUAAAGCACUUUCGGUUGGGAGGACUGCUUCUAGCACUAAUAUUGUUGGAAGUUGACGUUACCUUCAGAAGAAGCACCGGCUAACUCCGUGCCAGCAGCCGCGGUAAUACGGAGGGUGCAAGCAGUAAUCGGAAUUACUGGGCGUAAAGCGCGCGUAGGCGGCUAGAUCAGUCGGGUGUGAAAGCCCCGGGCUUAACCUGGGAACUGCAUCCGAUACUGUCUAGCUUGAGUACAGGAGAGGAGAGUGGAAUUCCACAUGUAGCGGUGAAAUGCGUAGAUAUGUGGAGGAACACCAAUGGCGAAGGCAGCUCUCUGGCCUGAUACUGACGCUGAGGUGCGAAAGCGUGGGGAGCAAACAGGAUUAGAUACCCGUGUAGUC